UACGUCGGGGGCAAGCGUUGUCCGGAUUUAUUGGGCGUAAAGAGCUCGUAGGCGGUUCGGUAAGUCGGGUGUGAAACCUUUGGGCUCAACCCAAAGCCUGCAUCCGAUACUGCUGUGACUUGAGUCCGGUAGGGGAGUGGGGAAUUCCUGGUGUAGCGGUGGAAUGCGCAGAUAUCAGGAGGAACACCAGUGGCGAAGGCGCCACUCUGGGCCGGUACUGACGCUGAGGAGCGAAAGCGUGGGGAGCGAACAGG
rnacentral:rRNA from 1 species